CCUUUUUAAAAUUUGUCAAACUCGAAAACACCACAUUGGUAAAAAAGUUACGGAACAACUGCCAGAUGACGCUCUAAGGCAACUGAUUUGAGUUGCGUUUCUUUCUUUUGUUAGGUUUUUCCACCUGUGAUCAACAUUCCUGCCGAAGUUUUAUUGCCUUUGCUUGACAUUUGUGAAAGUUGCGGCUUCUUGCUAGAGAACGUGAGUCCAUCGAGGAUAUCGAAUGUAGUGGCAGCGCAGCCCUUCGACUUCAAAACCUGAUGAGAGAAAAGUUGAUCAGUAACCGCAAAUUAACCAUCAGAGAGCUGACAAAGGACUUGAACAUUGCUUUUGGAUCCGUUCAGGGCAUUGUAAUUAAAUAUUUGGGUUUUCGCCGUGUAGCAACAAAGUUGGUUCCAAAGGACCUGAAUUUCAUGCAAAAAAGGGGCCGCGUUGAAAUCGCCAUUACUAGAGACGGGACGUGGCUAUAUGAGAACGACAUGCAAUCAAGACCUCAGUAGAGCAAUUUUCAGUAAAAAAAAUCACGAUGUUCAUGCUUUUUAUGGAUUACAACGGUAUUGUCAACACAAAUUUUUGCAGAUGGUCAGACAGCUAAUAAGAUCUAUUAUUUGGGCGUUAUGAGACGUUUACGGAAAGCAAUUCGCCAAAAAAGAAAAGUUUUGUGGGAAAACAACUCGUGAAUUUUGUGCCAUGGUGACACACCAUCACAGGGCCCCAUAGAGCCAUUAUUAUCUGUGAAUUACUGACCAAAAACGAAACGAAUACCAUCAAACAGCCAUUGAAUUGACCUGAUGAUGAGUAUCUGCAAUUAUUUCUGUUUGAUCGAGUCAAGCAACAGCUACAGGGAGCCGAAAGCUAUGAAAUAAGUUUUAUUCUAUCCUAAUGUACUUAUUUAGUUUUGUAGAUAAGUUUUUAGAUCGUGAUCAGAUUUUAAUGAUAAUCUCAGGCUAAAUCAUCUACUCAGAAAUUCAGGUUAUUUCAGAAAUACCGUCGAGACUGGAUAAAUAUCGGUUUAGU